AACGAACGCUGGCGGCAGGCUUAACACAUGCAAGUCGAGCGGGCCCUUCGGGGUCAGCGGCAGACGGGUGAGUAACGCGUGGGAACCUACCCUUUCCUACGGAACAACACGGAGAAAUCUGUGCUGAUACCGUAUACGCCCUUCGGGGGAAAGAUUUAUCGGGGAAGGAUGGGCCCGCGUCGGAUUAGCUAGUUGGUGAGGUAACGGCCCACCAAGGCGACGAUCCGUAGCUGGUCUGAGAGGAUGAUCAGCCACAUUGGGACUGAGACACGGCCCAAACUCCUACGGGAGGCAGCAGUGGGGAAUAUUGGACAAUGGGCGCAAGCCUGAUCCAGCCAUGCCGCGUGAGUGAUGAAGGCCUUAGGGUUGUAAAGCUCUUUCACCCACGACGAUAAUGACGGUAGUGGGAGAAGAAGCCCCGGCUAACUUCGUGCCAGCAGCCGCGGUAAUACGAAGGGGGCUAGCGUUGUUCGGAAUCACUGGGCGUAAAGCGCGCGUAGGCGGACCGUUAAGUCGGAGGUGAAAUCCUGGGGCUCAACCCCAGAACUGCCUUCGAUACUGGCGGUCUCGAGUCCGGGAGAGGUGAGUGGAACUGCCAGUGUAGAGGUGAAAUUCGUA
rnacentral:rRNA from 1 species